ACUCAAAUGAAUAGACGGGGACUUGCACAAGCGGUGGACCAUGUGGUUUAAUUCGACGAUAAACGAAGAACCUUACCAGGGUUUAAUCUAGCUGAAGACAAGAAGAAACUUUUGUCGCCGCAAGGCAGUUAGACAGGUGAUGCAUGGCCGUCGUCAGUUCGUGGUUUGAAUUGUUCCCUUCAGUGGGGUAACGAACGCAACCCUCGUUGUCUGUUAUAUUUUUUCAGGCGAGACUGCCCACGACAUAGCGCAUAUAUCGGUUUGAUCCGAUUGUGCUCUGCGUCGUGGGAGGAAGGUGAGGAUGACGCCAGGUCAGCAUGUCCCUUAUACCCUGGGCUACACACGUGGUACAAUGCCUACUACAACGGGGCGCAAUGUCGCAAGACGGAGCAAAUCCUUAUAAAGUAGGCCCAGUUCGGAUUGAAGUCUGCAACUCGACUUCAUGAAGUUGGAAUCGCUAGUAAUCGCGGGUCAGCCACACCGCGGUGAAUACGUUCUCAAGUCUUGUACACACCGCCCGU
rnacentral:rRNA from 1 species